UACAGAGGGUGCGAGCGUUAAUCGGAGUUACUGGGCGUAAAGGGCGCGUAGGCGGUUAUUUAAGUGAGAUGUGAAAUCCCUGGGCUUAACCUAGGAACUGCAUCUCAUACUGGAUAGCUAGAGUAUUGGUAGAGGGUAGUGGAAUUUCCGGUGUAAGCGGUGAAAUGCGUAGAGAUCGGAAGGAACACCAGUGGCGAAGGCGGCUACCUGGACGAAAUACUGACAGCUGAGGCGACGAA
rnacentral:rRNA from 1 species